CUUCAAGGGAUUGCUUCAUCGGUAUGAAAUUUCACCCACUCCCUGGUUAAAGCUUCGAAUUAAUGGGAAGCUUCAAAUUUCUUUGCAACAUCUGGGAUAAAAGUCCUUUCGGAUAAAGCUCUCAUAACAGUUUUACUUUAUAAUCGGAUAGAAGAUACAGGAAAUUGUUCUUCAAGAAUCCACAAAAGACCCUGGAAAACGAAGUCGAAUAUGGAAACCUAAGGAAGCGCUUGAAAUAUUGAAAUAUAAAAGGGGAAUUCAUGUUGUUGAAGACAUAAUUUUAGAUUUGGAUACAUUAACUAAGAAUCUAAGUUUGAGCUCUGAUUCCCUAGCAAGGAUGACUCAUGUGAGAUUUCUUAAAAUCCAUAGAGGGUAUCGGCGCAAGUGCAAAUUUAAUGUGUACUUUCUUAAUGGUCUUGAGUCACUGUCGUAUAAAUGAGGUACCUUCAUUGGGAAGAUUUAUGUCUUGAGUCUUUGCCGUCUAACUUUUGUGUUGAACAACUUGUAGAGUUUCACAUGCCUCACAACAAGCUUACAAAGCUUUGGGAUGGGAUUCAGAAUCUUGUAAAUUUAAAGAGCUUUGUUUUUCGGGGCUCUAUCCCAGGCUUAUCCAAGGCAGAAAAACUUGAAUUUGUUUGGUUUGAUGAUUGUGAAAGCUUGCGUGAGCUCCACCCAUCCAUGUCAUCUCUCCCCAACCUUAUAACUUUGUCUAUAACUAGAUGUAGAGGGAUUGAAAGCCUUAAUGUUCAUUCAAAAUCUCUCCAAAGGUUGUAUGUCAAUGGUUGUUCAUAUCUGUCAAGGAAUUCUCAGUGGCAUCAAAGGAAAUGACAAUCUUGAACUUAUCUACCACCUCCAUAGUGCAAUUCCAUCAUCAAUUUGGCCUAAUAGGAAACUUAGCUUUCUUUCUUUAAGUAGUUAUAACAAGGUUGACAAGUUAUCAAAUGAUUUGGGAAUGGGAUCCAUAACAGCACCAGAUCAUUAUGGGAGCAUGCAGCGCAAUGCACCGGAACUGUCAUCCUUACAAGCACUUACAUAUUCACAACAUUGGACACUUUUCAUCAUUAGAACUUUUGGAGCUAUAUAAUGUCAAGAGCUUGCCUGCUAACAUCAAUAACUAUUCCUUAUCUCCAACUUUCAUCCGACUUGUGCGGUUUCAUUUAUUGUUGUGUUGUUCUUUCUAAAGGAACAUCGGUUUCAUGUUCUGUGUAUCAAGAUGGUAAAACGGUUGGUCAUGACAACAACGUUUUUUAUCACAUUAUAUCAGUUGCAGAUCUCGUGUUGGUUUCGUAUGUCAAAAUGUCGAACAACUUACCAUUUAAACUUCAAUUUUAUUUCAAAGAUAAAAACUAUCUAUUUCAAGAGAGCAUAGAAGGGUGUGGGGUUUUCCCAGUAUAUGCCUCAGAAUCUGGGUUGAAGUUGUUAGGUAGUAGUAGCAAGGAAAUUUUUUAAUCGGAAUCCAUUUCUCAAAUCUCUGAUGAUAAGUCACACCCCAGAGGAAUUCAAGCUGGAGGCUCUAAUAAUGAAAAUGAAUGGGAACAACUUCUCAAUGUGAUUACAUCAUCGGUUUUCUUUUUAAAAAAAUUGUGGAGAACAUUUGAUGGGAAAUCAACAUUAGCUUUGAGCAAGUCAAUCUCUUCAUUUGGUCGUCUGAAACGGUGAUGGUAAUCGAUUUGUGAUUUAAAAUUUAGAUGUAAAAGUGCACUCUUGUUGCUUAUGACUUUUACCUUUGUUGUAGCUAUCCAACAGUUGGAACUUGAAAUUAAUGGUAAUUUUUGUUUUAUUCUCUGGAGCAUAUACAUCAUGAUAGAGUG